UACGUAGGGUCCAAGCGUUAUCCGGAUUUACUGGGUGUAAAGGGCAAGUAGACGGCCAAGCAAGUCAGAUGUGAAAACUUAGAGCUCAACUUUAAGACUGCAUCUGAAACUGUUUAGCUAGAGUGCAGAAGAGGUAAGUGGAAUUCCUAGUGUAGCGGUGAAAUGCUUAGAUAUCGGGAGGAACACCAGUGGCGAAGGCGGUGCUCUGGGCCGGAACUGACGCUGAGGAGCGAAAGCGUGGGUAGCAAACAGG
rnacentral:rRNA from 1 species